CCUGCCGUGGAGCAACGGCCGGCUCUGCCGGGUUUGCGGCAGCCGGUGCGGCCUGCGCGCCUGCGGCCAUGUUCUGCGCCAUGGCGGUAGAC
rnacentral:tRNA from 1 species